rnacentral:rRNA from 1 species
CGGCGGAUGACUUUGGAUGUAUUAGCCGAAGAAGGACGCGCCAGGCCGCGAAAGGCGCCGGGGAGCUGUCAAGAAGCUUUGAUCCGGCGGUGUCCGAAUGGGAAAACCCCUCCGAUAGCAAUAUCGGAGAUUCCGGCGCAAGCCGCGAAAGGUAAGCCGGUGAACUGAAAUAUCUAAGUAACCGGAGGAAAAGAAAUCACAGCAGAUUCCGUCAGUAGCGACGAGCGAAAGCGGAGCAGUCUAAACUCCACUACACCCGCAAGGGUUAAACGGAGGGUUGCAGGACUUCAAUGUGGGAUGGUUAAAGAUAGCAGAAUAACGCGGAAUCGUUAGCCAAAGAAAGUGAAAGCCUUGUACGCGAAAUUUUUAAUCACCCUAGAAGAUUCCUAAGUAACACGAGAGACGGCAAACUCUUGUGUGAAUCAGGGGCGACCACGCUCCAAGACUAAAUACUAAUACAUACCGAUAGUGAACGAGUACCGUGAGGGAAAGAUGAAAAGAAGGGUCGAUGACCCGGUGAAAUAGAACCUGAAACCGAUUACUAACAAACAGACAGAGGUCCGGCGCAAGCCGAGGCUGAUGUCGUGCCUAUUGAAGAAUGAGCCGGCGAGUCUUUGCUAGUUGCAAGCUUAACCUCGUAAAUCGAGGGGAGGCGCAGCGAAAGCUAGUCUUAACAGGGCGAUUAGUAGCUAGCAGAGGACCCGAAACCGGGUGAUCUAUCCAUGAGCAGGGUGAAGUUCGACGAAAGUCGAGUGGAGGCCCGAACUCGUUAAUGUUGCAAAAUUAUGAGAUGACUUGUGGUUAGAGGUAAUAUGCCAAACGAACCCGGAGAUAGCUGGCUUUCCUCGAAAUAUAUAUUGGUAUAGCCUUCUUGGCGAGAAACGCAGGGGUAAAGCACUGAAUGGUUACUAUGGGCGCAAGCCCAUGGCAAUCAAUCAAACUCAGAAUACUGUUGUUUAUCCAAGAGGAGUCAGCGGCUGGGGGCUAAGCUCCAGUUGCUAGAGGGAAACAACCCAGAUCUUCAGUUAAGGUCUCUAAAUAAUUGCUCAGUUUUUAAGGAAGUCGCGGUCCAUAAACAGCCAGGAGGUCGGCUCAGAAGCAGCCACCCUUUAAAGAAAGCGUAACAGCUCACUGGUCGACGGAAAGCGGCGCCGAAGAUUCAUAGAGGAUAAGCAAUUUACCGAAACUAAGACUCCGGCGCAAGCCGGGGGGUAGAGGAACGUUCUAGGGGCGGUGAAGGUUUGACGCGAGUCGGGCUGGAGCGCCUAGAAGUGAGAAUGCCGGCAUGAGUAGCGAGAUUCCGGUGAGAAACCGGAAUGCCGUAUGUCCAAGGUUUCCUACGCAACGUUCGUCGGCGUAGGGUUAGUCGGCCCUAAGGCGAGAUCCUUUUUAGGAUGUAGUCGAUGGACAACAGGUUAAUAUUCCUGUACCUGUUAUUAAGCGUUAUGAAUUGGGGUGGGACGAGGUUUGAUAGGUUGAGCGUCUUAUUGAUUUGACGUCUAAAAGGCAAGUUAGCGCUGAUAGGAAAAUCCGUCAGCGCGGUUUAACACGAGCCUUGACGGGGAGUUUUGAGCGAUCAGAACAACUCGAUUGACUUAAGCCUCUGAAAAAAGCAUCGCAAUCAGUUUAAUAACAGCCCGUACCACAAACCGACACAGGUGGACUGGUUGAGUAGACCAAGGCUGACGGAAGAACGGUGGUUAAGGAAUUCGGCAAAACAGCUGGGAGUAAGUUCGCAAGAUUCCCUUCCUUAUGGCGCAAGCUAUAAGGGCGCAGCUAAAGAUUUUCAAGCGACUGUUUAACAAAAACACAGGUCUGUGCUAAAGCGCAAGCUUAGGUAUACAGGCUGAAACCUGCCCAGUGCUGGAAGGUUAAUUGCGAGGGUGAAAGCCGCAAGGCUGGAGCCUUCAAUCGAAGCCCCAGUGAACGGCAGCAGUAACUAUAAACAAAAUUGUAGUUGUAAAAUCUGGCCAUAUGCUGGAAAGUCUUGACAGGUCGUCUGUACUGCUGUUUAAUAAAACAACAGUAAAAAUCAGAUGAAUAGAGAUAAUCAGCAGGAAAGGCCAAAACAUGCCAAAGUUAAGAAUUCCGGAUAAUUUAAGCUGGUACUUGUCGGGUUUUACUGACGGAGAGGGAAGUUUUAAUGUCUCUCUGCGAAAAAAAUCUGAUUACCGAGUAGGUUGGCAGCCAGUAUUAUCUUUUAAUGUUUCACAAAGAGAAAAGACAAUUUUAGCUUUAAUGCAAAAAUAUUUUGUCGGUGGAAUUAUUAAAAGACGAAAAGAUGGUUUGUAUUCUUACGAUGUGACCAACCCAAAAAUUAUCCAGAAAACGAUAAUUCCUUUUUUUGAAAAAUAUAAAUUUUUCUCAAAAAAUAAGCAUAAAAAUUUCUUAAUUUUUAGACAAAUAGCCAGGUUAAUGUUUGAAAAAAAACAUUUAACCCUAAAAGGUUUUAAAAAAUUAUUAAUACUAAGAGAAAAAUUGAAUUUAGGAAAAGGAAGAACCAGAAAAUAUACUUUGAAAAAUGUUUUGGAAUCCUCAGAGACUAGACGCCAGAGUCCGCCUCAGGUGGACAUGAUAUAGUCCGAUCUCAUAGGAGACUAUGAGUUAACAUAAAUGAACUGUUCUAUGGUAGCGAAGUACCUUGUCGAGUAAGUUUCGACGCGCACGAAAGGUGUAACGACUUGAAAACUGUCUUAACCGCCGAUCCGGCGAAAUUGAAAUGGCUGUGAAGAUGCGGCCUAUUGACUGCAGGACAAAAAGACCCCGUGGAGCUUUACUAUAACUUGGCACGGAUUUAUUUAUUUUGAUUGUUUAGAAUAGGCGGGAGCCUUCGGGCAUCAGUGAAAUACCGCUCGUUAACUUAAAUAAAUCUAACCUAGAAUCUUUGAAGACAAGAUUAGGGACAGUGUCUGGGAGAUAGUUUCGCUGGGGAGGUGGUUUGCUAAAGAGUAACGCAAACGCGCAAAGGUACUCUUAGGUUGGAUAGAAAUCAACCUGGACGUGCAAAGGCAUAAGAGUGCUUGACUGUGACACUUACAAGUGAAGCAGAAGCGAAAGCUGGCCUUAGUGAUCCUCGAGUGCAUUGUGGGAUGCACCGGGCUUAACGGAUAAAAGCUACCCCGGGGAUAACAGAGUAGUCGCACCCAAGCGUCCACAGCGACGGUGCGGUUCGCUACCUCGAUGUCGGCUCAGGGUAUCCUGGAGGUGAAGAAGCUUCCAAGGGUUGGUCUGUUCGCCCAUUAAAACCCUACGCGAGCUGGGUUCAGAACGUCGUAAGACAGUUCGGUCUCUAUCCGCAGUCAACGUUGGAUUCUUGAGGGAAGCUGACCUCAGUACGAGAGGACCAGGUUGGGUUAGUCCCUGGUGUGCCUGUUGUUCUAUCAAGAGCAUUGCAGGGUAGCCACACUGAUUCGAGAUAACCGCUGAAAGCAUCUAAGCGGGAAACUCAUCCCAAGAUUAGGAAUCCCCAUUAGACCCCUGGGAGACUACCAGGUAAUAGGCAGCAGGUGGAAGUGGCGUAAGCCAUUAAGCUUAGCUGUACUAAUCGGUCGAUUGAAA